CUUUAUGAUCUGUGCAAUACAGACUCACCUUGUUCUCUGACCUGUAAGUGUUUCAGGGAAUCCCAUGGACACCACGAACACGAAUCUUAUUAUGGAGAUCGUGAUACAGAAACCCUGGUUAAGAUGAUGGAAGAAUUGGCCACUUCUAUUCUGCAGGAGAACGAUCAGAACCGCUGACGGGAGGAUGCAGAAUUGAAGGAUACGUGCGUGCAAAGAAGGUUCCUGGCAACCUUAUCAUCUCUGCUCGUUCAGGAGCCAAUUCUUUUGAUGCUACUGGAAUGAACAUGUCUCAUGUCAUACACCAUCUUUCUUUCAGUAAAACAGUUUCACCUCUGGUAUUAAGUGAUGUCAAGCGACUCAUACAUUUUCUUGGUAGAAGCCAUGACAAGUUGAAUGAUUCAUUAAU